AGGUCGUUAAGUAGGCAAAUCCGCUUAACGUUAGACCGAGAUCUUACAGGCUCUUGACACUCUUCGGAGGAGAUGGAGAAUCGAUGAUACUGUCGUGCCAAGAAAAGCCACUAAGUUUAUUAUAUGUUGCCCGUACCGUAAACCGACACAGGUGGGUGGGAUGAGUAUUCUAAGGCGCGUGGAAGAACCCUCUUUAAGGAACUCUGCAAAAUAGCACCGUAUCUUCGGUAUAAGGUGUGCCUACUUUGGUAUAUGGACUUGCUCCAAAAAGCUAGAGAGGUUGCAACAAAGAGUCCCUCCCGACUGUUUACCAAAAACACAGCACUUUGCUAACACGUAAGUGGAUGUAUAAGGUGUGACGCCUGCCCGGUGCUCGAAGGUUAACUGAUGAUGUCAGCGCAAGCGAAGCAUUUGAUUGAAGCCCGAGUAAACGGCGGCCGUAACUAUAACGGUCCUAAGGUAGCGAAAUUCCUUGUCAGUUAAAUACUGACCUGCAUGAAUGGCGUAACAAGAUGGGAGCUGUCUCAAAGAGGGAUCCAGUGAAAUUGUAGUGGAGGUGAAAAUUCCUCCUACCCGCGGAAAGACGGAAAGACCCCGUGCACCUUUACUACAGCUUGACACUGUAGCUUGGAUAUUCAUGUGCAGGAUAGGUGGGAGGCUAUGAUGACUAGACGCAAGUAGAGUCGGAGCCAUCCUUGAGAUACCACCCUUGGAUAUUUGAGUUACUAACUGCGAUGAGUUAUCCUCAUUCAGGACAAUGUCUGGUGGGUAGUUUGACUGGGGCGGUCGCCUCCUAAGUAGUAACGGAGGCUUAUAAAGGUUAGUUCAAAGCGGUUGGAAAUCGCUUGUUGAGUAUAAUGGCAUAAACUAGCUUGACUGUGAGACCUACAAGUCGAGCAGAGACGAAAGUCGGUCAUAGUGAUCCGGUGGUUCUGCGUGGAAGGGCCAUCGCUCAAAGGAUAAAAGGUACGCCGGGGAUAACAGGCUGAUCUCCCCCAAGAGCUCACAUCGACGGGGAGGUUUGGCACCUCGAUGUCGGCUCAUCGCAUCCUGGGGCUGUAGUCGGUCCCAAGGGUAUGGCUGUUCGCCAUUUAAAGCGGUACGCGAGCUGGGUUCAGAACGUCGUGAGACAGUUCGGUCCCUAUCUUCCGUGGGCGUAGGAAAGUUGAAGAGAUUUGUCCCUAGUACGAGAGGACCGGGAUGAACCAACCACUGGUGUACCAAUUGUUCUGCCAAGAGCAUCGUUGGGUAGCCACGUUGGGAUGUGAUAAGAGCUGAAAGCAUCUAAGCUCGAAGCCAACUCUAAGAUGAACUUUCCCUGAAGUUCCCAGCAAGACUAGCUGGUUGAUAGGCUGGAUGUGUAAUGGGUGUAAGCCCUUUAGCUGACCAGUACUAAUAGAACGUUUGGCUUAUUUUU
rnacentral:rRNA from 1 species